rnacentral:rRNA from 1 species
CAGGCGUAAAGCUUGAAUGUAAUAGCAUGGAACGAUUAUGUUGACCUUGUUAACUGUUGGUUGUUGGCAGUGGUCUCGAUUAAAAGGGACAUUUGAGGGCGUUAGUACUUGGUGGCGAGGGGUGAAAUUCUUAGACCCAUCAAAGACUAACUAAUGCGAAAGCAUUCGCCAAGAGUGUUUUCAUUAAUCAAGAACGAAAGUUGGAGGUUCGAAGACGAUCAGAUACCGUCCUAGUUCCAUACAGUAAACUAUGCCAACAUGGGAUUAGCCCGGUUUAAUCCAGGUUGGACCCUCGGUGAAAAUAA